GAUGAAGAACGUAGCGAAAUGCGAUAAGUAAUGUGAAUUGCAGAAUUCAGUGAAUCAUCGAAUCUUUGAACGCAUCUUGCGCUCCUUGGUAUUCUGAGGAGCAUGCCUGUUUGAGUGUCAUUAAAUUCUCAACUACACUGACUUUGAAUUGGUGUGGCUUGGAUUUGGGGGGAAAAUUGUUGCGGGCUUUUUGUAUAGUCUGCUCCCCUGAAAUUGAUUAGCGGUACCUUUGUGGAACUGUCUACAGGUGUGAUAAUUAUCUACAUCUUAGACAUCUGCUGGAAUGCUGCUUUCUAAACCUUACUUGUAUUGACAAUCUUGACCUCAAAUCAGGUAGGACUACCCGCUGAACUUAAGCAUAUCAAUAAGCGGAGGA
rnacentral:misc_RNA from 1 species